rnacentral:rRNA from 1 species
CCUACGGGUGGCAGCAGUGAGGAAUAUUGGUCAAUGGACGCAAGUCUGAACCAGCCAUGCCGCGUGCAGGAUGACGGCUCUAUGAGUUGUAAACUGCUUUUAUAAGGGAAGAAUAAUGACUACGUGUAGUCAGAUGCCCGUACCUUAUGAAUAAGCAUCGGCUAACUCCGUGCCAGCAGCCGCGGUAAUACGGAGGAUGCGAGCGUUAUCCGGAUUUAUUGGGUUUAAAGGGUGCGUAGGCGGUAUUUUAAGUUAGUGGUAAAACGUCGGGGCUUCACCUUGAUUGGCCAUUAAAACUGGAGUACUAGAGUACAGACGAGGUAGGCGGAAUAAGUUAAGUAGCGGUGAAAUGCUUAGAUAUAACUUAGAACCCCGAUAGCGAAGGCAGCUUACCAGACUGUUACUGACGCUGAAGCACGAGAGCGUGGGUAGCGAACAGGAUUAGAUACCCUAGUAGUC